rnacentral:rRNA from 1 species
UACGAAGGUCCCAAGCGUUAUCCGGAUUUAUUGGGUUUAAAGGGUGCGUAGGCGGCUUAUUAAGUCAGUGGUGAAAGCCCCAAGCUUAACCUGGGAACUGCCAUUGAUACUGAUGAGCUUGAGUAGAUUUGAGGCGGGCGGAAUGUGUCGUGUAGCGGUGAAAUGCUUAGAUAUGACACAGAACACCAAUUGCGUAGGCAGCUCGCUAAACUCUUACUGACGCUGAGGCACGAAAGCAUGGGGAUCAAACAGG